CUGAGGAAUUCAGUAUGUGGUGGUUUCUCCAUGCACUCUGAAGGCUCACAGAAUGAUGAGAAGAAGUGACACUGGCUGUUCUGGAGUCUCAGAAACUACAGGAUCAGUCGGAGGCCCCUAGGAUUCCAAAUAAUACAAUGGUUAAUACCAAACUACUGUCCCGAUCUGUGGAUUCCAAUGCUAUUCUGCCACAAUGUGAUGGCAUGUUGAAUCGGGAGUAUGAAGUCAAGCACACCUCAGCAUAUCUUUCUUCUGGAUUGAGGCCAGUGCCCGAGGAAUUUAAGUGAGGCUUCACUGCCUGGGGAAGGGUUUGAAGUAUUACCCACGUGGCCCUAGAGAAACAGGAUCAGAAGUGAAUCCCUUUCCUCAGGCCACAGGGUAAAGACGUGGCAGAGCUCCAGCUGGAGGCUAGAAAAGCAGGACCCAAACCUGUGCUCUGAACACGAUGAAGAGGAGAUGUCACCCCAGAUGCAGUCCCUGCCCCAUGUCCUUCCGGGCAGGAAACGUCUUCCCCAUGGUAAAUCUGAGACCACAGCAGUAUGCAGCCACUACUGCCUCGUGGU